GUUGUUAGGUUUAGGUAUUGGGUAGGAUUAGGGAUGUAGAAUAUGGUCAUGCAGAAUAUGUGCUUUAUAAGUGCUUAUAAACAGCCAAUAUGCUAAUAAUAGGCAUGCUAAUAUGCAACUAGUUGAUAGUGAGAAUUGGUCCUUAUACUAAAGUGGUACCAUAAAUCUUAUAACAUUAUUGAGUUGUGGUGUAAAAACAGUUAAAUACUGGUAGUCUGUGUAAUAAGCCAGAUGAGUCAUAUGUCUUUUGUCUUUUACUGCAAGGAAGAAGACUUCAGUCCAGGAGGAUGACUCCAGUUCAGGAAAAACAUACAGGACCAAAGUCAGUUACAAAUAAUGUUUUUUUUCAAUUAUAUAUUGUAUAGAUCUUACAAUGUAGUUUAUAUGUAUUAUAUCAUUUUAAAAUGAUUGUGUUUUAUACAUUUCUAAUUUUAAUUUUACAAAAUAAAAAAAUGUUUACGUGUUUACAAUCUAUUUUUAUGCCUUUAAGCAUUGUUUUGAAAUGUUGUAAGUCAAUAAAUGUCAUUUUUGUGGUAAAAGUGGUGUCUUUAUUUCACAGUACACAAAAAUGAAUGCAGUAAUGCAUGUUACACUAGUGUAAUAAUUGCUGUGAUAAAGAACACAGCUUUCUAAUACUCUAAUUGCAAUUACAGAACUGUGAUUAUUACUGUAAUAAAGAAUUACAGUAUUUAAUAGUUACUGUUAUUAAACUUACAGUCAGCAUACUGUGGAAUGUUUUACAGCAACAUACUUGCCAAUUGCUGCCAGCAAGUUGCUGUAAAUUUCACAGUAUUCUUUUUACAGUGUGCUUUAAAUUGAUUAUGACACACCAGUACGCUUUAUUUCUCACUUUCACCGAAGUAUGAGGCAGCAAUGUUUUAGAUAGCCCACUUGAAAAUUUUUAGAAUCGUAGAAAACGAAAUACGAGCGUGCUGACCGGGUCAGACUUGCUGAAUUGCUUCUUUUUAAUUAUCUGAAGUCCAAUGUCCAGUAAGACCUUUUACUGUAUAGAUUUCAACUUUGCCCAACAUUAAUGUUUUUCCAUGAUUAAUAUUGCCUCUUUUCUUUAUAGAUGUUUAGUAUUUCUCUAGAAAAUGUCUUCAUUCAAGCUUUUAGUGAAUACAGGAGGACAGGAGGGAGUCACAGAGGUGCUGGAUCCCACGUCCCAAAUGUGGGGGAACCGCUGGUGUCCCCUCUGUUCCACUGACAAAUCUGCCUCUGUUCUCUUGUUUAUAUUACAUUGGAGUGCCAGAUUUUCAUUGUGGACCAUGUGAACCUUGUCUGGUGACCAUUUAUCAACAUAAACCAUAAAAAACAGACUGACGCUUUGACAAACACAUAAACAAAUGAUCAGACAUGUGAAUCAGAGAUAGGUUGCCAUCUUCUGGAUUCUCUGCAAAACUUCACCAGACCUGCUCAUAACACGUCCGUCAUUUCCUUACAUGUCCUGUAAAUGAAUGUUUUGACAGCAAGGUCUGUGAAUCAUGCUGUGGGCAGACUUUAAUUAGCAUCAGUCGUGUUGAAAUGACUGUGGAGUGCAGUCGUCAGUCGGUGACCAGAGUAGCAGUCCAGGUUCUGCGGAUGCACGCCUGCGUUUCCAUGUGAGCGAGUGUGGUGUAAAGGUGCGGUUGUUGAGUAAGUCUGCCGCCACGCUGAGUCGGCACAGGCCCCAGGAAGUGCCAGAAGAUAACGCUGGCGUCCUCUCUCACGCUCGGCGCUGUGGUGGUGGUGUCCAUCAGGCUGGGAGAUGCAGGGAAAACAAGAGCCCUCUGGCCCCUGCUCGCUUGCUUCUGACUGGGCUACCAGGCGAGCAGAGCACCUUUGAGCUUCUAAAAUAUAGCUGAGCCGAGGGGUAGGGAGGCCUCCUUUUUUCUGCCUGCACCCCAAGAUGGGAAGUGUUACAUUGUUUUCAUCAUUUUACCCAUCAAUAGGCUACACCGAACCCCGCCUGCUUACAUAUAUUUGUGCGUGUAUGGGGGGGGGGGGGGGUCUGGUAGAUAUUGUUUCUUUGGUACUGUAGUUAUGAGAGUCCUUAAAAGUGUAGGCAGAAAAAUGGCCCACAGAGCCACUGAAACAACUUAAAGCAUUGAAACAAAAAACUGUGCUCCUCAAAGAGAGAUGAAAACUAAUUUUAACAAUUAUAUUAUGUAUGCCUAAUGUGUCUAAAAUUGAAUUGAAAAAAAAUGUGACAUGAUUUGUUAUGAUUUGGAAUAAAAAUUCACAAACUUCUAGCAUAUUUUAAUUCAUCAUGUUUUUUUUUACAAUUGCUAUUUGUUGUAUGUGCAUAGGAACCAGACUUCUCAACUAAUUUGAUAACUCUAUGCUACACUAUAGAAAGGUAAAUGUUUA